rnacentral:lncRNA from 1 species
GGUUAAGAGAAAAUCGCUGCCGGACGCGAGAAACAGUGCAACCUCUCCCAGGCGCUGCUGGAGGGAAAACGUCAUACGCAAUGCCCCUGAGCCCGCGAAAGGAAGACAGCGGGGCUUAAACCUGCCCUACCUUCGUAUCUCGGGGCUACUAAUUCCCCCCGCAAAGUUUCCUAUCCCCAAUGAAGCGGAAGGGAGGACCGACCGCUGGCUGUUGGAACAGGGGCAGGCGUCUCGGAGCCAAAGAAAGCUCGCUGCCUUGGCAGAAUCAUCUCCGUUGGGACAAAGCUCUUUAGAUCGAUACCCCUGAUCAAAAGACCAAAGAAGCAACCAUCAUCAAGAAAUGGAGGGUUUUUUUUCUCCAUACUAAGGCUCCUCUGUCACUUCCCAGCUUUACAUCCCGUCCUCUGUUAAAAACAGGGGCAGGUAGGGAGCGACCACAGGAAACCUGUUCCAAAGCCCUGCAGAUACCUCGGCAAGCCGCAGAAUCGAAGGAGGGACAGGGGGCACUGUCUGAACAGCGCACGGGAAAUGGGGUACAGCUGAAAUCAGGGUGGUGGUGGUGGUGGGCGCACCGGCAGAAAACCAGUGCCAGGAUGCUUCUGGCGAAAGAAGGAAGAGGCUUAUGUGUGUGUGAACAGAACGCUGCCACUGCAUCCUUCGCUUUUCCCAGCACCACCGGGUGGCACCGUGGGGGUGCAGCAAGGGUUGAGUGGGAAAAUGCACCCUCUUUUUUUCACAACCCACCCUCUCUCUCUUUCCUCCCUCCUGCUUGGCUCCUGCCCACCCCCACGCCAGGGCAAUCUUGAAAAAGACAAAUAAACGCCGCGA